rnacentral:misc_RNA from 1 species
AGAUCGCCGAACCCCGGCAUCGAUCGCAGCCUCUGACCACGAGCUCUCGAGCUCCGUACCGACCGAAAUGGCGGCUUCUCUGCAGCAGCGUAGCCUCUCCGCCGCUCGCCUCCUCCUCUCCCGCUCAUCGCAGGCGAGAUCGCUCUCCUCCGACGCGCUCGUCGAGCUCAAGCCUGGCGAGAUCGGCGUCGUCUCGGGCAUCCCCCGGGAGCACCUCCGCCGCAAGGUCAUGAUCUAUUCACCAGCUCGGACUGCGACUCAGCAAGGUUCUGGAAAAGUUGGAAAGUGGAGAAUCAACUUUUUGUCAACCCAGAAGUGGGAGAAUCCGCUGAUGGGCUGGACUUCAACAGGGGAUCCGUAUGCCAAUGUAGGUGAUGCAGGGCUUGGUUUUGACAGCGAAGAAGCUGCAAAAUCAUUUGCUGAAAGACAUGGAUGGGACUACAUGGUUAAGAAGCAUCAUACUCCUCUUUUGAAGCCGAAGGCCUAUGCAGACAAUUUCAAGUGGAAAGGCCCCCCAAAGUCUGAGGAAGCAUAGAUUCUUUUAUUCCAAGUUAUGUUAUUGACCUUUUGGAUGUGUUGAGAGCCAACAAAAAAAACAUCUGCUUUCCAGUUGAUGAUGAUAAUUAAUGCCCAACACUGGGAUGUAUUAAUAAAACAUAUUAUAUUUUUUUCCGCGA